AGACAGUUUUGAAAUUGAAGUGGAUAUUUGAGGUGUGUGAUUACAGACUUGUGUGUGAGGUUUUGAUUGUGGCGCAGUCAGUUGUUUGCCGAGAAGCCUUGAAAACUGUGUAUUGCCCCCUUAAGAGCAAAAUUUGAUUUUUUGUGUGUGAUUACAGACUUGUGUGUGAGGUUUUGAUUGUGGCGCAGUCAGUUGUUUGCCGAGAAGCCUUGAAAACUGUGUAUUGCCCCCUGAAUGAUGAAAUGUUGA